AGGACAACAUGCCAACAUUACUCUUUCUAUCAUCGAUCAUUGGUCUUUGUCUGGGUGUUGAGGUGACGCAGACCCCUGCAGAGCUCCUGAUGAGUCCAGGAGACAAGGUGCAGCUGGUCUGCAGCCAUGAGAAGACCGACUACACGUUAAUGCAGUGGUACCAACAACCCCCCGGAGAGAGAGCUCUGAAACGCAUCGGACACUUGAACUACGACAGCAAGGAAUACGAGGAGCCUUUCAAAGAACAUUUUAAAAUGUCUGGAGACCUGACUGGAGGCAAAGCGAAGAACGCGUCCCUGUUCAUAGACACGCUGAAGGCAGAGGAGCACAGUGCCGUGUAUUUCUGCGCUGCUAGCUUCGCACACUGACUGCAGAGACCCCCUGCUCACACAAAAACGAUAUACCGUUACUGUUGGGAGUCAUUCAAGUAAGAGCCAGAAUCAAUACAAUAAACAUGUUAUUUUAGCACAUUUCUAUUUCUAAGCUGUAUUUCAUUUAAUUUUGUAUUGCAAUGUUA